AGCGAACGCUGGCGGCAGGCUUAACACAUGCAAGUCGAGCGGGCAUCCUUGUGGUGUCCGCGGCAGACGGGUGAGUAACGCGUGGGAACGUGCCCUUCGGUUCGGAAUAACUCAGGGAAACUUGAGCUAAUACCGGAUACGUGCGAGAGCAGAAAGGUUUAUCUGCCGAAGGAUCGGCCCGCGUCUGAUUAGCUAGUUGGUGAGGUUAUGGCUCACCAAGGCGACGAUCAGUAGCUGGUCUGAGAGGAUGAUCAGCCACACUGGGACUGAGACACGGCCCAGACUCCUACGGGAGGCAGCAGUGGGGAAUAUUGGACAAUGGGGGCAACCCUGAUCCAGCCAUGCCGCGUGAGCGAUGACGGCCUUAGGGUUGUAAAGCUCUUUUCUCCGGGACGAUAAUGACGGUACCGGAGGAAUAAGCCCCGGCUAACUUCGUG
rnacentral:rRNA from 1 species